rnacentral:rRNA from 1 species
UACGGAGGGGACUAGCGUUGUUCGGAAUUACUGGGCGUAAAGCGCACGUAGGCGGAUUUGUAAGUCAGGGGUGAAAUCCUGGAGCUCAACUCCAGAACUGCCUUUGAUACUGAGAAGCUUGAGUCCGGGAGAGGUGAGUGGAACUGCGAGUGUAGAGGUGAAAUUCGUAGAUAUUCGCAAGAACACCAGUGGCGAAGGCGGCUCACUGGCCCGGUACUGACGCUGAGGUGCGAAAGCGUGGGGAGCAAACAGGG